rnacentral:tRNA from 1 species
UCAGCCGUGGCCUACUGAUUAGGGCUUUGGACUUGUAUCCGGAGGGUUGCCGGUUCGAACCCCGACCAGCAGGA